UACACUGAGGAUGGGGGGCAGUGUUGGUCUCCUAUAUAGCAACACUUGACCUCCAAACAGCUGGUACUUCUGUUUCAAGGCUUGUCUGAGAUUGAAAAAUGCCCUAGUCUAGUGCCUAACUAAAGAUACAGUCGCUGAAUCUAACCAUCCCUUCUCUUUCCACCCUCUGUGGAGGGAAGCUGGCCACAUGAUCUGAACCUUUGUGCUAGCCCUGGCUGGUUGGACUGGGACAGGACACCGGAUCCAAAGCUACAAAACUGGGGUGGCAAUGGGAUGAUCAGAGCCUUCUUUUAAGAUUUUUGGGACUGGAACACUGAAAGGAACGGUCUUGUUUAAUAUGGAGAGCUGAGCUGAAAAGUCAUGUAAAUUUGGCAGGGGGUGGGGUGCGUGAAAGAUGGGCAAACUGAGGCAGCUAGCUGAGCGGAAAGAGGAAGAAAGAGGUGAGGGUUAGAACCCCAGAAUGUCUCCAUUUCAAUUUUUUAAAAACCCAGCAGUCUUCUCUGCCCUUGAUUUCUGAAUAUCAGUUUUUCUAUAUUCUCUCAGUAGCUUCUUCACCUUGAGCCAGUCCGGAAUUGUCACUAAUUCAUGAAGAAGUAGAGAGCAGGAAAGCAAAGAAAGAAAAGAUGGGCCGCAGAGAGGACUAGCAGGAUCAAGCAGAUCAGUGAGCAAAUGGAUGUGGAUGCAAUGCGGCUGCCUGAGAUUAGCAGGAAGCAAUUCUUUUCCCAUUUGGAGAGACCCCAGUGAGACCUGAUCACCAACCAGCAACAUAUGGAAGUCACACCAUUAAAUCUUCCAAUUUGCUAGCAGCAAAUCAAUGGAAUCUGAUAGCUGCUGCCCUAAGCUAGCAUUCCGGGAACUGUGGACAAGCUUUGAUACCUGAACUUCAGUGAAGGAAAGUUAAAGCUUUUUCUUAAAGCAGGGGGAAGAAAGAGAUAUUAUUAAGCAAUGAGAGAAGAGAUUGGAAGUUUUAUGAAAGAGAGUUGGUUGUCUUAAAUUUUUAUUUAAACAUAUUGGCAAAAUAUUGACAACUAGUAUUUUGUGGUAUAUUUUAACAAAUGAAUAAGAAAGGCUUUUAUAUUUUAUUUAAUUGAAUUGAAGCUUAACUCUGUUUUUUUUUUUUUUAAAAUUCUGAAAAUAAGACCUUGUUCUAGAGCCUGCCAAACUGGGCAAAUCAUACUUUGG
rnacentral:lncRNA from 12 species